CCCCCCUUGAAGCAUGUGCAGAUAUGCUCUGCUUUCAGCUCUAUAUGACUCAUCAACGGAUUGAAUCUUCCUGAAAGGUUGCUGAACAAGAAGUUUCAAUGAUGCAGGGUGCUACACCUAGAAAAGAAAGAUUUGGUUCUUGCCUGACACGUCUCUGGAAGAUAGCUUUGGAGAAGAUGAGAUGCGACUCCAAUCAGAGUUGGAAGAAGGAAGGCGCUUUCCUUACCUUGGCAUAAAGGGGGGAGAGAGACCUUUUAACCACCACUCCUGAUAUGAAGCAUGGACUCAGCUGGGCUUGGAUCAGAGGUUUAUGGAGAUGUUACCCAUGGAAAGCCUUUUGAAACCACUCAUGGAUCUUAAGCUCCAUCUGGAGAUGAGGAAUCUGAGGGUCAUUGAAGUAAAGAUAUUCAGGUAAUAAACAUCAGAGAUAUUCCAACCUUUUCCAUUGUACCAUGGAGGCAUGUGUUUCUGUUUUACCACUGCCCUUGGGUCCCAGUCUUGGUCUUGCUUCUGGAGAGACAAAUGGAGAAAGAAGUUCCAGGGAUGCAGCAAAGAAAAAAAGUCUUUGGAAUAGCAGACAUAAAUGGCAAGUCAUUCCUGUCAUGGCCCUGGACUUGCUGGAAAUUCUAGAAACUGCUGAGAAUGGACAUCCUCUGAAUAAGAUCACUUCUUCUCUCCUUAACUGAGCUGAAAUCUUAUCUCAUGAGCUGAAUGAACUGAAGAGCUCACUCACUCAUGAACUCUUUGGUAUAUUCUAACCUACA